rnacentral:rRNA from 1 species
GACGAACGCUGGCGGCGUGCUUAAUACAUGCAAGUCGAACGGAAAGGCCCUGCUUUUGCGGGGUGCUCGAGUGGCGAACGGGUGAGUAACACGUGAGUAACCUGCACUUGUCUUUGGGAUAACUUCAGGAAACUGGGGCUCAUAUCGGAUAGGAGCUCCUGCUGCAUGGUGGGGGUUGGAAAGUUUCGGCGGUUGGGGAUGGACUCGCGGCUUAUCAGCUUGUUGGUGGGGUAGUGGCUUACCAAGGCUUUGACGGGUAGCCGGCCUGAGAGGGUGACCGGCGUCAUUGGGACUGAGGUACGCCCCAGACUCCUACGGGAGGCAGCAGUGGGAAAUAUUGCACAAUGGGCGGAAGCCUGAUGCAGCAGCGCCGCGUGCGGGAUGACGGCCUUCGGGUUAUAAACCGCUUUCGCCUGUGACGAAGCGUGAGUGACGGUAAUGGGUAAAGAAGCACCGGCUAACUACGUG